UUUCGGAUCGUAAAGCUCUGUUGUUAGGGAAGAACAAGUGCGAGAGUAACUGCUCGCACCUUGACGGUACCUAACCAGAAAGCCACGGCUAACUACGUGCCAGCAGCCGCGGUAAUACGUAGGUGGCAAGCGUUGUCCGGAAUUAUUGGGCGUAAAGGGCUCGCAGGCGGUUUCUUAAGUCUGAUGUGAAAGCCCCCGGCUCAACCGGGGAGGGUCAUUGGAAACUGGGAAACUUGAGUGCAGAAGAGGAGAGUGGAAUUCCACGUGUAGCGGUGAAAUGCGUAGAGAUGUGGAGGAACACCAGUGACAGUAGG
rnacentral:rRNA from 1 species